rnacentral:ncRNA from 1 species
AAGUUUGAUUCUAGCUUUACUCUUGGUUAAAUUAAAAUGUUAUACAUGCAACCCACUGGACUCCCGUGAAUAGCGUUUACACUCUUCUCUAAAAGACAACACGUCCCCGCUAGAAUAAGUUAUUACAAUUAAGCUUAUCUUUCACGACUGCAGUAUAGAAUUCUGUCCAAUUAUUGACUAUAAACUCGGAUAUUAAUUAUAAGCGCUGAUAAAAUUUGUGCCAGCAAUCGCGGUUAUACAUCAAACGCAAAUCAAGAAAUUCGGUUAAGUAAUGAUAAUAAAUAUCAACCUACAGGAGUACAAUCCACCAUCUAACUCUAAAUUCAUUAUUAUCUAAUAAAUAACGAAAGAAGGAACAAAAACAAGGAUUAGAUACCCUUUUAUCCCCUUCCGUUAAAUCCUUUCCGGGCACUACUAUCUCAUGAUCGAAACCCAAAGAAUUUGGCGGCACUUUACGCACCUAGGGGAGUCUGUUUAUUAAUUCGACAAUCCACGUUUACUUCGUUCUUGCUUUCGAACCACAGCUUGUGUACUGCCGUCGUCAACUAGCCUUUCAUAAGAGCUAGUUAAAUGAUUUCUAUAUCGCUACGUCAGGUCAAUGUGCAGCCUACAGGCAAGCUAAAAUGGACUACAUUAAAUACAUCAACUAGAAGUUUUAAAUAAACUAAUUCUGAAAUUGGACUUAGAAGUAAAACAACUAUAGAAAACUUGUUUGAAAUAGCAAUCUAAAGUGUGCACACAUCGCCCGUCACUCUCGCCGAAAGGGGAGAUAAGUCGUAACAUAGUAGACGUAACUGAAGUUGUGUCUU